GUUUUAAUAGUUUAAUAAAAAUAUUGAUCUUGUAAAUCAAAGAUAAAGUUUUUUUUAAAACU
rnacentral:tRNA from 1 species